rnacentral:rRNA from 1 species
UACGUAGGCAGCGAGCGUUGUUCGGAGUUACUGGGCGUAAAGGGUGUGUAGGCGGUUCUUUAAGUUUGGUGUGAAAUCUCCCGGCUCAACCGGGAGGGUGCGCCGAAUACUGAGGGACUUGGAGUGCGGGAGAGGAAAGUGGAAUUCCUGGUGUAGCGGUGAAAUGCGCAGAUAUCAGGAAGAACACCCGUGGCGAAGGCGGCUCUCUGGGACGGUACUGACGCUGAGACGCGAAAGCGUGGGGAGCGAACAGG